rnacentral:rRNA from 1 species
GACGGGGACCCGCACAAGCGGUGGAUGAUGUGGUUUAAUUCGAUGCAACGCGAAAACCUUACCCACCUUUGACAUGUACGGAAUCCUUUAGAGAUAGAGGAGUGCUCGAAAGAGAGCCGUAACACAGGUGCUGCAUGGCUGUCGUCAGCUCGUGUCGUGAGAUGUUGGGUUAAGUCCCGCAACGAGCGCAACCCUUGUCAUUAGUUGCUACAUUCAGUUGGGCACUCCAAUGAGACUGCCGGUGACAAACCGGAGGAAGGUGGGGAUGACGUCAAGUCCUCAUGGCCCUUAUGGGUAGGGCUUCACACGUCAUACAAUGGUCGGUACAGAGGGUUGCCAACCCGCGAGGGGGAGCUAAUCCCACAAAGCCGAUCGUAGUCCGGAUCGCAGUCUGCAACUCGGACUGCGUGAAGUCGGAAUCGCUAGUAAUCGUGGAUCAGCAUGUCACGGUGAAUACGUUCCCGGGUCUU